AAAAAAAAGAAAAAAGAAAAAAGUUAACAUUUGGGUCAAUUUGAAUUAUAAUAAAAGGUUUAACAACUCAUCAGCAUCUUGAUUUAUAUUUUCUGCAAUAUUUGGGCCAAAGAGUUGUCUGAGUGAUUUGAUUGCAGCUAUCUGGCAUGUUCGGUAAAUUUUACGUGUCAAAUUGGAAAGGUGACUUUGAAAUUAGAUUUUUGUUGGGAAGGAAUGGAUCUAGGAUUUCAAAGGGAGCAAAUCUUGUAUGCUGCAUGAACUUCCAAAGAUUUGCUAGUGUUUAAUAUUUCUAACUGGAUGCCAUUGAAAUCCCUAAGGCCUCUCGACUGCAUUGAGGACCAAUUUUUAGUUGUAUAUCUUUCAUGUGAUAUGGUAGUUUCCCAGCAUUAAAAUUAUGAAAACAGUCAGUGUAUUUGUAUAUAUUCCAAGCAGGUUUAUCGUACGUGUAUAUUGGUGAAUACAGAUAGGGUAAGCAUUUGGUAAACCAAGCUGAAUAGAAUUAAAUUUUCUACUAAUCAAAUUUUUUUAUUGAUUCUAAAAGAAUUGAUUAAACUGAAUUAAAAUUGAGAAAAAAAAAAUUUAGUUUAUUUUGAAAGCUUUAGCAGUGACCAUGGCUGAUAAGUUCAUUGAUG
rnacentral:misc_RNA from 1 species